rnacentral:rRNA from 1 species
UACGGGGGGAGGCAAGCGUUGUUCGGAUUUACUGGGCGUAAAGGGCGCGUAGGCGGCCAGCACAAGUCAGUUGUGAAAGUCUCCGAGCUUAACUCGGAAAGGUCAACUGAUACUGUGCGGCUAGAGUGCGGAAGGGGGCAACUGGAAUUCUUGGUGUAGCGGUGAAAUGCGUAGAUAUCAAGAGGAACACCUGCGGCGAAGGCGGGUUGCUGGGCCGACACUGACGCUGAUGCGCGAAAGCUAGGGGAGCGAACGGG